UCUGGCUCUUCAACGUUGGUCCACUUCUCCAGCUCUUCUAGUCCUUUUCCUUGCUCUCCGUCAACCUGUAUCUCGUCGCUACUGUUGGUUUAUCUGCUACUCUUCUCUCUGUUAAGAUUCAGCUGCGAUAGGGUGUUUGGGUCGCUGAAUUCUCUUCCUCUGUCACUGUUUUAUGCUUCUUCCUUCCUCUGGGUCAGCGGGUAUAUGAACUUCAUCUUCCCUUCCUCUUUUGCUAGCUGUUGAGUGUAGUGGAGACCAAAAAUUUUCUCCUUUUCUUCUCAGACGCAAAGCAUGUAUUUGUUCAUAGAUGUUGCCACUAAAUUUCGUUUGGGUGUAAGUUGCUGGGUUUUUCUCUUCCUUUUCAGUUUCUAUAGCAGCACCAAGUGAUUCUUUCGCUCCUCUAGCUGAGUUAUGACACACUAAUUCUUUAUUGUUGCUGUCAUAAAAUUUUAAAAGAAUUAAGGUUUAGUUUAAGUCAAUAUUAGAUCCUGUGCUGUUGUGGUGACUAAACUAAAUUUGGUUAAUAAAAGUAAAAGCUGGUGAGUUGUUGGAAUUUUUUGAUUGUUCAUCUUAUAAUUUUUGUCAAUGAUAAAUAUAUGCUUUGAAGGUAUUUGUAAAAAUAUUUGAGAGAACAAUUUGAUGAAUUAUGAGUUGUUAAAACUUCUAUAUUAUAGCUGAGAGAAGUAUAUGUAAUUAUGAUUUAAGUUAUUAAUUAAAAAUUUUAAAAUACUAAAGUGGGAGAAAGGAUUGCAAAGGAAACCUGUUUCACUUUUUUUUUUAAGUUUGGAGGAAGUUUAAGAAUAAUUGAUAUAGUUUAUUAUGAUUUACAAAUGAGUAUGGGUUAUAAGGGAGUGUAAGAAUAAAUAGAAAGUUGUCAAAUGAUUUAAUUAACUCAAAUAUAUUUGAAACAUACUUGGUUAGAGUAUUAUUUUUAAUAUUGGUUGGAUUGAAUUCAAAUGUUCAAUAAGUGAUCGAAAACUUUCUUGAUAAAUGAUUUUAGAAUUAUAAUUUAUUUGUUAGAAAAUUAAGAAUACCAUUGAAGUUAAAGUGAAAGAUUAAGAAAAGCACGCUUUAGAACUUUGAGAAACUAUUAGAUAAGUGGGUAGCUUUUCAAAUAUAUGAAAUUCUUUAUUUAAAUUUUACUAUUAUUCUUUUAUAAAUUGUACAAAUAUCAUUGUUAAUCCUAUUUUUUUUAAUAAUUAUCUUAUUAAUAAAAAUGUCUUGAUUUUACUGGUAAUCUAUGUUGUUGAUAAGUAAUGGUUGAAACGUAUAUAUGAUAAAUAACAUAUAUUUUUUAAAGUAGUUUAAUUACUGAAUUUUAUGUUAAUAUAAAAUUUUUAAUGUAAUGAUUCAUGUAUGGAGGAAAUAAUGAUAAAUUUGGACAAUAAAAAAUGAUGGUUGAAUGGUGUUUGAAAGAGAAAAUUUUGAAAUUGUUUUCUUAUUCCAUACAUACUUGAUUUUCUUUGAGGAGGACUGAGUUCAAAAUGUCAAAUACUAAUGGCAAUCUCGUUAGCCCUAGGUGCGUCAUGGUACACCUAACUAGUAGGAUGUUUAUAGGAGGUAUUAGCCCUAUAUGCAAGCCAACACACGUUGAAUGGAAGGAUGGAUAUUCACGAAUAUCGCACUCAAACUUGUUCAUGGGCUUUACGCUUGUGCUUUUUUCAUGGCUUCUAAUUGUGCUUGAUUAUUUCGUGGCUUUAAGCCAUGCUUGUUAGUUAUUUACUCUCAUUGAUUGUGUGUCCACACUUGAUUGGUUAUUUAGUCUCGUGAACUAUGUGUUCACGCUUGUUAUUUGUUUUGAUAAAGCCCUCCUAAAUUUAAGUUAAAACUUAUCAUUUUUCUAACAAUUUUUGAAAGGUACUUUAUUGAACUGCUCUAUUAUUGAAAUUUUUUUAUUUUAUGAGUAGUCAACAUUUUUAAUACAUUUGUGUGAUUCCAUUAGCAUUGUUUAAUUUUAUGACUAUAUUAUUGAGAAAAAUCAUUAUUUAUUUCUAGCUUAAGUAUAUGAUUCAUUAUUUUAUUAAGUUAUUUUGAGUAAAAUUUAUUAAUUAUUAUCUUCUUCUUUUCUUUAUUGUAAUUUUGAUUGGAACGCUACUCACCGAUAAGUUUUUUGAUCUUAAAUAUUGUAACUAACCCUAUGCCUCUAGCAAAUAUUUAGGGGCCUUUUUGCUUUUUUAGAAAAAAGGAAGCAUAUUGUGAUUAUUGUUUUGAUAAAACUAUGUAUUUUAUUUUGUAAUCAUAGCUUACUACUCCACAUGCAUGUCCUAGUCUUAUUUAGUUGUUAUGUAAAUUGCUGAAAUGGAGCUAAUAUCCUUACUAGUCUAGUUGGUAAGUUCUGUUGUUGCUGUGAAAAAUUUUAGAGGUUUAAAUUAUAGGAGUGACUCUACUAAAAUUUUUACAAAAUAUUCAAAAUUUUACAAACUUUAUUGUUAUAUAUAAUUUAUAUAUAUCAAUAUUUUAUCUUAAUUCUUGGUUAAUCAAGGCUUAUAGAAUAUGAGUUUACCUCAUAUUUCAUGCCGAUCAUACCCUUAAUAUUAGGGUGUAACAUUUUUAGACCAUUAAGUUUAUCUUAAGUAUUGAUUUGGUUCCUCAAUUUUAAUUUUAAUUAAUUUGGUCCCUUAAAUUUGAUUUAAUUAUCAAUUUGAUUUUUAUUAUUUAAAUAGGAAGUAACAUUGUUAAAACCGCGCACAUGGAUACCAAAAUAUUGGUGGUUGCUAUGUAGAUUAAUAAAAAAGAAAUAUGAUUAUUUAGGAAGGAAAACAAGUUGACUCCAAAAUUUUUAAAAAUAAAAGAACAAAAUACAACAUAAGAAACUAAAUUGAUACAAAAUUAAACUAAUUUAAAAAUUAAUUUAUUCUCAUUUAACUGUAUAUGCAUCUCAAGCCAUCAAUAUAUUUUACAAAUUAAAUUAAUUCGAGAGUUAAUUUGUGUUUUAUUUUUUUAAAAAAAUAUAACAUUAUAAUUUAAAAACAUAAAGAAUCAAAUAAAUAAAAAUUAAAUUUGAGAAAUUAAAUUAAUAAUUGAUAAUAAAUUCAGAAGCUAAACCUUAUGGAUCAAAUUGAUAAAAAUUAAAUCAAUUUGGUUUGGAGCACUCUCAAUACAGUCUCCUCAACUGCUAGGUGGUUGGAACCUGAGGAAGGUCAAAAACUUGCUUCUACUCCUUGUCAUAACCAUGAAUAUGAUUUGGGAGUAAAGGAAUCAAACAUUACAUAAGGGCGCAGUUCAAGCUGGAAAAAAUAAUUUCAGAAAUUAAUCAUCAAUUACAUUACCUAAUAGAUGUAUGAAGAUCCCAAGUUCCCAGAGGAUUAACCAAAUGAAAUAUAAUUUGGAGGGUCGGGGUACAAUGACAUAAUAUAAAUAAUAUUAUUGUAAAAAUUAUUGUUCUUCUCACUCACUCUCAUGCUUUCACUCCCCCUCAUCAUAAAACUGAAAAUUAUAAUUACAUCUAUGUUAAAUUUAUUAAUUUUAUAAUAAUUUUUAAACAAUGAUUGAAUACAUUCUUUCAUUCCUCUAAUAAAACUUUCAAAGAAUGAAAUAUUUUAUUCUGUUCUAUUCCAUUUCAUCCCACUCUGUUCAUUCUAUUCCAUUAAUAAUCAUUCUUUUUUAUAUAUCAUCAUCUACUCUCAGACAUAUAUGCUCUUAAGCCAUGUUUGAUGCAUUGAAUUUGGUCAAGGAGAAAUGAAAUUAAAAUUGGAAUCAUACUUUCAUUAGUUUGGUAUUAAUGAAUCCAAAUUCUUAAUAGAUUUUAAUUCUACCAAAAUACCCAUAAUUCAAUUUCCUUCAUAUCAUGACCAUGGAAUUGCCAUUAGCAAUGAUUUUUUUGUUUUUGAUUUUACUUUUUAUAAGGGCAUUUUAGCCUUUAUAUAUUUUAAACACAUAUAUUUAUUAAAAUUAUAUUUAGAUUAUAUUUUCAUACCAAACAUACAUCUAUAACUCAUUUUUAUUCUGAUUUCAAUUCCAACUUUAGUUCUAAUUCUGAUUAUAUUAAAAACUCUUUCAUCAUAUUAAACGAGGCGUUAUGUCGGAAACAGGAAAAUAGGGAUGGAUUAACUGUACAAAUUACGUUUUUUUUUCUAUGAUAACUCUGACAUGGAAAUUAAAAAGAAUAAGAACAAUAAUGGAAAUCUACCGGAUUUUGCUGAUGAUUGCCUCAGACGAGCGCUCAACUGGAUCUGUUGCUGCAAUUGGAGCGUCCUUCAUCACUCAAAGCUCUUCUUCAUCGACUUCGAUACUAACAAACCAUUGUUGAUGUAAUUUUGUUCAUUUAUGUUUAGCUCAUGAUGACUUACAAGAUCUUAAUACCUGCUUUCCUCGUCAGAUAUUGCAACUGUAAUAUUUUCUUCAUUUCUUUUAAUAUUUUUCAACCA